rnacentral:tRNA from 1 species
GCCUCGCUAGCGCAGUAGGUAGCGCCAGUCUCAUAAUCUGAAGGUCGUGAGUUCGAUCCUCACACGGGCA